GGAUGAAGCAAUCUGGCUGACACUCAUUGGUCACCAUUGGUCACCAGGGUUCAUUUGGCUGAUCUGGCUGGCUAGGUAGAUACCCCUUUCCUCCCCAUCACCUUAUGUGUUCCCCUUCUCAUGCUGCAUACUUUGUUGUAGAAGAUGGCCUUCCCAGAAUAGAGAACUGUUCUUAAGGUAGGGUAAAUGAGUAGCUGCACCUCUCGCUUCAAACAAGCUUUCAAAACUGAUUGGACUGUUUCCAUAUCCUGGCUAUUGUA
rnacentral:snRNA from 1 species